rnacentral:precursor_RNA from 15 species
UGUUCGUCCCUGCACUGGCAUUCUCCCAAGGUAUAAUGAAAAUUGAUUUUAAUCACACGGAUCGGAGUGGCAAAAUUAAAAUUCAUUUUCAUUUGCAGUCACGGGAUACAAUGUUCACCUCAUCAAUA